AGCUUUUUCCCGACAACCGUCCGACCACCACGGAAUGUCGACAUUCGCGUCCGCGCACCGUACCAUAACGCACGUACUCGGUCUGUUCUGACGACGACGACGCCGCCGCUGACGAAGUCUCCCGCGGCCACGGUCGACUCCGAAUCACUCACCAUAUUCAUACACCACGCACGGUCACUCGAUCACCGACUCACUUAUCCGAUUUUAUUGUCCAUCGCAUAUCCCUGGCAUUAAGUUUAUAACAUAAUAUCAUCACCAUCGACGGCGAUCCCACUCGUCACUUCGAGACACCAUUUUGACGCGACUACGCAGCCCGUACAGAUUUCAAAACUACAGCCAAUCUCAUUGAUAAAUUGACAAGAAUAUAUUUACAAAAAUAUAUAUACCACGGGGUCGACAUCAGAUGACGACGAGAAGGAUCAAAAUUCUUCAGACGGACAGGAUUCCACAUCGCAUCUUCGUAGACUAACUUGGUUGGCCCCGCGUAUUCUUGGGACAUAACACAUAUUUAAGACUGUUAUUGCUUGAGAAUACACGUAGUUGACAAGUUUAAACUUAUUGUGCUGCAUCGACAAUAACUAUACAUUUUGUGUGAUAUAAUUUAUUGUAUAUUUUAUUUAUUAGAAUUAAGCGUAACAUCCCUAGUUUAUAUU